UCGGCAACGGAUAUCUCGGCUCUCGCAUCGAUGAAGAACGUAGCGAAAUGCGAUACCUGGUGUGAAUUGCAGAAUCCCGCGAACCAUCGAGUCUUUGAACGCAAGUUGCGCCCGAGGCCACUCGGCCGAGGGCACGCCUGCCUGGGCGUCACGCCAAAACACGCU
rnacentral:rRNA from 1 species